CGUAGGCGGUCUCUUAAGUCAGGUGUGAAAGCCCGGGGCUCAACCCCGGAAGUGCACUUGAAACUAAGGGACUUGAGUAUGGGAGAGGGAAGUGGAAUUCCUGGUGUAGCGGUGAAAUGCGUAGAUAUCAGGAGGAACACCGGUGGCGAAGGCGACUUCCUGGACCAAUACUGACGCUGAGGCGCGAAGGCGUGGGGAGCAAACA
rnacentral:rRNA from 1 species